AACGUAGGUGGCAAGCGUUAUCCGGAUUCACUGGGCGUAAAGCGAGUGCAGAUGGCUCUGUAAGUUGGAUGUGAAAUUUCCCGGCUUAACCGGGAGGGGUCAUUCAAUACUGCGGGGCUUGAGGGCAGAAGAGGGGGGUGGAAUUGCCGGUGUAGUGGUGAAAUGCGUAGAUAUCGGCAGGAACACCUGUGGCGAAAGCGGCCCCCUGGUCUGCUCCUGACACUCAGACUCGAAAGCUAGGGUAGCGAACGGG
rnacentral:rRNA from 1 species